rnacentral:rRNA from 1 species
UGGCUCAGGAUGAACGCUGGCGGCGUGCCUAAUACAUGCAAGUCGAGCGAAUGGAUUGAGAGCUUGCUCUCAAGAAGUUAGCGGCGGACGGGUGAGUAACANGUGGGUAACCUGCCCAUAAGACUGGGAUAACUCCGGGAAACCGGGGCUAAUACCGGAUAACAUUUUGAACUGCAUGGUUCGAAAUUGAAAGGCGGCUUCGGCUGUCACUUAUGGAUGGACCCGCGUCGCAUUAGCUAGUUGGUGAGGUAACGGCUCACCAAGGCAACGAUGCGUAGCCGACCUGAGAGGGUGAUCGGCCACACUGGGACUGAGACACGGCCCAGACUCCUACGGGAGGCAGCAGUAGGGAAUCUUCCGCAAUGGACGAAAGUCUGACGGAGCAACGCCGCGUGAGUGAUGAAGGCUUUCGGGUCGUAAAACUCUGUUGUUAGGGAAGAACAAGUGCUAGUUGAAUAAGCUGGCACCUUGACGGUACCUAACCAGAAAGCCACGGCUAACUACGUGCCAGCAGCCGCGGUAAUACGUAGGUGGCAAGCGUUAUCCGGAAUUAUUGGGCGUAAAGCGCGCGCAGGUGGUUUCUUAAGUCUGAUGUGAAAGCCCACGGCUCAACCGUGGAGGGUCAUUGGAAACUGGGAGACUUGAGUGCAGAAGAGGAAAGUGGAAUUCCAUGUGUAGCGGUGAAAUGCGUAGAGAUAUGGAGGAACACCAGUGGCGAAGGCGACUUUCUGGUCUGUAACUGACACUGAGGCGC